ACACCUCAACUCUCAUCGUUCGCCGUGAUGAGCUUGGACUCUGGGGGUUUUGCUGGCCUGCGGUCGGCUCCCCUCAAAUGAAUCAGCCUCCCAGUGUUUGGUGGCAUCACGGGUGUGAUAAAUAUCUACGCUCGCGGUUGUCUGCCAGGUAACCUUUGGCGACAAAGGUUCGCUGGAGCUCACAGAUGUCUCUCCUCGGCGAGGACAGCUUUUUGAAC
rnacentral:misc_RNA from 1 species